rnacentral:lncRNA from 1 species
GGGGGGCGCCGGGCCUGGUUGUGUUUGGAAGCAGCUGUGACUUCCGGCUGGGAUGCGCGACUUGGAUUUUUUCAGGUGCGGGCCGCACGAAAGCCUCUGCGUGUUCAGUGUUUGAAAACGCGGAUCGGAGCUGUUUCUGAGGAGAAACAGUUGUUUUCGCAUCCUCCCCCAACCCAGGACACCCCGGUCUGAGAGCAGCAGCAGCAGCAUCAGGAUACACCCCAGUCGUCUCUGGGCCCUGAGAUCCAUGGCACUGCCUGUGCUAGGGCUGGGGCUCCUUGCUCAUGUUUUGCUGGACGUUAAGAAGGUUCCGGCGGCAGAGAGGCUGUGCGCCACAACCCCCUGUGUAUUGGAAUUCCCCAGAGAAUCGCCCGGCAGCUCCGUGAUCGUGGGCUCCUGGCUCAGUGGCAGCGCCGGCUCCCCUGUCGCCAUCAUCGGUGCCGAGGCCAGACUCCAGGGGACGGGGCAUCGCGAGGAACGAGACUGUACCCUGCUGGUCCGUGCCAUGCCCCAAGGCGACAGCCGGGCGUCCUUGCUCCACGCAGAUCCAGGAGGGCGUGGAAGUGCUUUCCCGAGGGCGCGCACGGAGCCGUCCCUGGCAGGUGAUGGCCGGCCUCCUGCGGUCAGUGGCUCAGACGGGAAGAAACCUGGAAGGGCUUCUGCUGAUUGCGUGGGUUCCUCCCCACCGAGUGCUGAGCAUCCACAAAACCCUAGGUGUUUGAUGUUUACAAACGUAACACACGUCAUGGGUUUAGCCGGCUAUUUCCUUUUCUGAUUUUUCAAAUCUUUCAAAACUAUUUAUUUAUUCCUGAAAGAGAGAGAGAAAGAGAGAGAGGUCUUCCAUCUGUUGGUUCACUUCCUAAAUGGAUGCAAUGGCCAGUGCUGAGCCAGGCAACAACCGGGAGCCAGGAGCUUCAUCCGGGUCUCCCAUGUGGGUGGCAGGGGCCCAAUGACUCGGGCCAUCUUCUACUGCUUUCCCAGACCAUAGCAGAGAGCAGGAUUGGAAGUGGAGCAGCCAAGACUCAAACAGGCACCCAAAUGGGAUGCUGGUGUUGGCAGGUGGCGGCGUUACCCACUAUGCCAAAGUACUUUAUUUUUCUAUGUAGAAAUGGCAGUUUGUGGGGAAGUGACUUGGUCAG